AGUUUGAUCCUGGCUCAGGAUGAACGCUAGCUACAGGCUUAACACAUGCAAGUCGAGGGGAAACGACAUCGAAAGCUUGCUUUUGAUGGGCGUCGACCGGCGCACGGGUGAGUAACGCGUAUCCAACCUGCCCACCACUUGGGGAUAACCUUGCGAAAGUAAGACUAAUACCCAAUGACGUCUCUAGAAGACAUCUGAAAGGGAUUAAAGAUUUAUCGGUGAUGGAUGGGGAUGCGUCUGAUUAGCUUGUUGGCGGGGUAACGGCCCACCAAGGCGACGAUCAGUAGGGGUUCUGAGAGGAAGGUCCCCCACAUUGGAACUGAGACACGGUCCAAACUCCUACGGGAGGCAGCAGUGAGGAAUAUUGGUCAAUGGGCGAGAGCCUGAACCAGCCAAGUAGCGUGCAGGAUGACGGCCCUAUGGGUUGUAAACUGCUUUUAUAAGGGAAUAAAGUGAGUCUCGUGAGACUUUUUGCAUGUACCUUAUGAAUAAGGACCGGCUAAUUCCGUGCCAGCAGCCGCGGUAAUACGGAAGGUCCGGGCGUUAUCCGGAUUUAUUGGGUUUAAAGGGAGCGUAGGCCGGAGAUUAAGCGUGUUGUGAAAUGUAGACGCUCAACGUCUGCACUGCAGCGCGAACUGGUUUCCUUGAGUACGCACAAAGUGGGCGGAAUUCGUGGUGUAGCGGUGAAAUGCUUAGAUAUCACGAAGAACUCCGAUUGCGAAGGCAGCUCACUGGAGCGCAACUGACGCUGAAGCUCGAAAGUGCGGGUAUCGAACAGGAUUAGAUACCCUGGUAGUCCGCACGGUAAACGAUGGAUGCCCGCUGUUGGUCUGAAUAGGUCAGCGGCCAAGCGAAAGCAUUAAGCAUCCCACCUGGGGAGUACGCCGGCAACGGUGAAACUCAAAGGAAUUGACGGAAGGG
rnacentral:rRNA from 1 species